GGAGCUUUCAUCACUUGGUUGUUCUAUGUAAAAACGCAAACCUUGAGUAGUUUUUCAUGGCCAAAUUUUCAGCAGAUUUCGGUAAAUGAGAUAAUGUAAUUGCUUAAUGAGGUCUAUUAUUAGAAAUCUGAACGUUCUAUAACGAUGGAAGAUAGAAUGUGUAGAUUGCCACGGUUUCCCCCAGUCAGCAGGGAUGGGUCGAGGUAUUUCUAGGUCAUCACACCGCAUGGUUUAAAUCGAGGUCAACUCGGCGCACUGAUUUUCCGCAUUUCGACCAAUUACGUAAAAACAAGACGGCGUGGUUUCUUUGUGUAAGAAUAAUUUGAAAUUUUCCCUCGUCUAGCUAGAGAAGGUUGAAGGAAUUAUUAUUUGUAUGUCAUAUUUGGGGUCUAGGAUAGCUUUAUAAUGCAACAGAAACAUAUAAACUAAUUAUUUACUGAGUAUGUGUAUGACAGCUUAUUGUAUAUAUGAAUAAAAUAGAAAAAAAAGUAA